rnacentral:rRNA from 1 species
AUGCUCUCCAAGGCGGCCCGUUGUGGGCACAUUACCCCCGUGAUCUCCCAUCUUCUGCCGGAAGGUGUCUCCCACCUGCAAUACGCUGAUGAUACAAUCAUAUUGGUGGAGUUGGAUAAUGCCUGUAUUGCCAAUCUUAAAUUCAUCUUGCUGUGUUUCGAAGCUGUUUCGGGUCUGAAGAUCAAUUUCGCCAAGAGUGAGGUUCUGGUGACGGGUGUGGACGGGGCGGAAGCCUUGCGAGUUGCCAGGCUCCUUAAUUGCGCUUUAGGCUCUUUCCCUCUCAAGUAUUUAGGACUUCCUAUCUCUCCUGGUAUCCUUCAUGCGAAGGACUUCGCUCCGGUGGUUGCUAAAGUAGGAAACAGGGUGCUCCCGUGGAGGGGUAGAUAUAAUACCAAUGCAGGCAAAGUGGCUUUAAUCAAUUCUUGCCUGUCUUCUCUCCCUAUGUUUCUUAUGGGCUUCUAUCUUCUCACGAAUGGCGUGCAUUCUGGCUUCGACAAACAUAGGGGUGGCUUCUACUGGAAUUCAGCUGAUAACAAAAGAAAAUAUAGGCUGGUUAAGUGGCAACUGAUGUGUAGGCCUAAAAACCUUGGGGGGUUAGGCAUUAUUAACACUCGGGUGAUGAACAUGUGUUUGCUCAUCAAGUGGUGGUGGAAAAUUAUGACUGUGGGGGCCGGGUCGCUGUGGUUUUCGAUUCUUAAGGCCAAAUAUUUCCCCCACUCCGAUCCUAUGUUUGCUCCCGCGCGGCGUGGUUCUCAGUUUUGGAAAGCUCUUGUUAAAGUUAGGCCGAUUUUUUUGGAGCAUGUCAAGUUUUCUGUGGGGAAUGGGUCUGCUGUUCGUUUUUGGUUGGAUUGGUGGUCUGGGAUGCCCCACUUGCCGUGA